CUAAUACCGGAUAUUAUGGAAUCAUCGCAUGAUGGAAUCAUGAAAGCUAUAUGCGCUAGAGGAGGACUUUGCGUCCCAUUAGCUAGUUGGUGAGGUAACGGCUCACCAAGGCGACGAUGGGUAGCCGGCCUGAGAGGGUGAUCGGCCACAAGGGAACUGAGACACGGUCCUUACUCCUACGGGAGGCAGCAGUGGGGAAUAUUGGACAAUGGGCCACAAGCCUGAUCCAGCAAUUCUGUGUGCACGAUGAAGGUCUUCGGAUUGUAAAGUGCUUUCAGUAGGGAAGAAUAAAUGACGGUACCUACAGAAGAAGCGACGGCUAAAUAUGUGCCAGUAGCCGCGGUAAUACAUAUGUCGCAAGCGUUAUCCGGAUUUAAUGGGCGUAAAGCGCGUCUAGGCGGUUUACUAAGUCUGAUGUGAAAAUGCGGGGCUCAACUCCGUAUUGCGUUGGAAACUGGUAGACUAGAGUACUGGAGAGGUGGGCGGAACUACAAGUGUAGAGGUGGAAUUCGUAGAUAUUUGUAGGAAUGCCGGAUGGAGAAAGUCAGUUUCACUGGACAGAUACUGACGCUGAAGCGCGAAAGCUAGGGGGAGCAAACAGGAUUAGAUACCCUGGUAGUCCUAGCUGUAAACGAUGAUCACUGGGUGUGGGGGGGUCGAACCUCCGUGCCGAAGUUAAUGCGAUAAGUGAUCCCGCCUGGGGGAGUACGUUCGCAAGAAUGAAACUCAAAGGAAUUGACGGGGAACCCGGCACAAGCGGUGGAGCAUGUGGUUUAAUUCGACGCAACGCGAGGAACCUUACCAGUUCUUGACAUCCUACAAACUUUCUGGAGACAGAUUGGUGCCCUUUCGGGGGAAUGUAGUGACAGGUGGUGCAUGGCUGUCGUCAGCUCGUGUCGUGAGAUGUUGGGUUAAGUCCCGCAACGAGCGCAACCCCUAUCGUUAGUUACCAUCAUUAAGUUGGGGACUCUAGCGAGACUGCCUGCGAUGAGCAGGAGGAAGGUGGGGAUGACGUCAAGUCAUCAUGCCCCUUAUGAACUGGGCUACACACGUGCUACAAUGGGGAGUACAAAGAGUCGCAAGCCUGGUGACAGCAAGCUAAUCUCAAAAAGCUCCUCUCAGUUCGGAUGUAGUCUGCAACUCGAAUACAUGAAGUUGGAAUCGCUAGUAAUCGCAAAUCAGCAACGUUGCGGUGAAUA
rnacentral:rRNA from 1 species